AGUUUUUGAACUGUCCAUAGAACAAACAAAAUAACAAUUUACUUAUAUACAGUGGCGUAGCCAGGAUAUAUAAAUGGGAGAAAGAGUUAUAUCUAUACAAUAAAUAAUAAAGACAUAAAAACCAAUACAUAAAAUUAAUAUCGAGAUCAAUAUGAUGUUCUGUAAGCUACGAAUAAUAGUAACAAUUUUUUAUAGUUAAGGAAUGGCUAUCAAAUCACGAAACUGUUGAGAAAUUCUUCUAUACAAUCUUCUUAGUCUUACUUAUAUCUAAGCUAAAAAAAAAGGCAAUGAUGGGGGUUAUAAAACCAACCCC